AGUGAACGCUGGCGGUAGGCCUAACACAUGCAAGUCGAACGGCAGCACAGUAAGAGCUUGCUCUUACGGGUGGCGAGUGGCGGACGGGUGAGGAAUACAUCGGAAUCUACUUUUUCGUGGGGGAUAACGUAGGGAAACUUACGCUAAUACCGCAUACGACCUACGGGUGAAAGCAGGGGAUCUUCGGACCUUGCGCGAUUGAAUGAGCCGAUGUCGGAUUAGCUAGUUGGCGGGGUAAAGGCCCACCAAGGCGACGAUCCGUAGCUGGUCUGAGAGGAUGAUCAGCCACACUGGAACUGAGACCCGGUCCAGACUCCUACGGGAGGCAGCAGUGGGGAAUAUUGGACAAUGGGCGCAAGCCUGAUCCAGCCAUACCGCGUGGGUAAAGAAGGCCUUCGGGUUGUAAAGCCCUUUUGUUGGGAAAGAAAAGCAGCAGGUUAAUACCCCGCUGUUCGGACGGUACCCAAAGAAUAAGCACCGGCUAACUUCGG
rnacentral:rRNA from 1 species